rnacentral:rRNA from 1 species
GACGAACGCUGGCGGCGUGCUUAACACAUGCAAGUCGAACGAAGAGCGAUGGAAGCUUGCUUCUAUCAAUCUUAGUGGCGAACGGGUGAGUAACGCGUAAUCAACCUGCCCUUCAGAGGGGGACAACAGUUGGAAACGACUGCUAAUACCGCAUACGCUCUAAUCUCGGCAUCGAGGAUAGAUGAAAGGUGGCCUCUACAUGUAAGCUAUCACUGAAGGAGGGGAUUGCGUCUGAUUAGCUAGUUGGAGGGGUAACGGCGCACCAAGGCGAUGAUCAGUAGCCGGUCUGAGAGGAUGAACGGCCACAUUGGGACUGAGACACGGCCCAGACUCCUACGGGAGGCAGCAGUGGGGAAUCUUCCGCAAUGGACGAAAGUCUGACGGAGCAACGCCGCGUGAGUGAUGACGGCCUUCGGGUUGUAAAGCUCUGUUAAUCGGGACGAAAGGCCUUCUUGCGAAUAGUGAGAAGGAUUGACGGUACCGGAAUAGAAAGCCACGGCUAACUACGUG